UCCAGGACCGGAGUUGCCUAUCCCUGUUCUAGACUAUAAAUGCUAAUGAGGUCAUAGAAAGACUAGUGUACUUCCUCGUUGCAUCAUCGGUUGUUUAACUGGUUAGGACAGAUGAGACUGUAUUUAGUUUCCGUACAAAAGAAGAGCACAUCGAUGAAUGCAGACCGAACCUCUGCUGACUAUAAAACAAGGAUUCUCUCUUUGGAUCUUUACUGCGUGACUUUGGUCAUCUACAUCUCUCUCCGUCUCACAGAUACGAAUGGAGUGUAAAAAGACAAUAAAGGAAACAAAAACUACAGGAGCAUCAGAAAGUGCAGAUGAGCAAAAAACGAGGACAGAGAGAGGUGGAGUGUAAUGUGAUCCGGAGCAUAUGUUUCUGAUGUCACAAGAUUCUCCCAUCGAACCCUUCAUCACUGAAGUCCAUCAUCAUCAUCAUCAUCAUCAGACUUCUGAUCAGCUGCUGUCUUCUGGAAGCUUUUACACUCGUCUGAGCACAAAAACAUUUCAAGAGCUUCUUUCCCAGAGAAUCUGCUGAUGCAGCACUUUACUCUCAAUCAUAUGCAUCAGAUUUUUUUGUUUAA